GAUGAACGCUGGCGGCGUGCCUAAUACAUGCAAGUAGAACGCUGAAGGAGGAGCUUGCUCUUCUGGAUGAGUUGCGAACGGGUGAGUAACGCGUAGGUAACCUGCCUGGUAGCGGGGGAUAACUAUUGGAAACGAUAGCUAAUACCGCAUGACAACAGUUAUUGCAUGAUAACUGUUUAAAAGGGGCAACUGCUCCACUACCAGAUGGACCUGCGUUGUAUUAGCUAGUUGGUGAGGUAACGGCUCACCAAGGCGACGAUACAUAGACGACCUGAGAGGGUGAUCGGCCACACUGGGACUGAGACACGGCCCAGACUCCUACGGGAGGCAGCAGUAGGGAAUCUUCGGCAAUGGACGGAAGUCUGACCGAGCAACGCCGCGGGAGUGAAGAAGGUUGUCGGAUCGUAAAGCUCUGUUGUAAGAGAAGAACGAGUGUGAGAGUGGAAAGUUCACACUGUGACGGUAGCUGACCAGAAAGGGACGGCUAACUACGUG
rnacentral:rRNA from 1 species